GGAAAGGGAAGGGCGCGGGCGGCUGCGCCGAAGCCCCUCACGCUCCCCUGCACCCCUCCCUCCCGGCCGCACCUCGAGCUCCUUUCCUUUCUCCCCUUCCCCCGCCCCGAGCCCACUCCUCUCCGUGCCUCGAUCCCGGUACCGCGGCGGGGGCGGGACCGCGAAACCCCGGCUCUAAGCCCGGACGCCCCAGGGAUGCUGCGGGCCCCCCGGAGCUGCUUACCUGGGGCCGCGGCACCAGGAGCGGGCGCGGCGCGGCUCCUCCUCGCCUCCGCGCCCUCCUUCUCCGCUUCUCCCCGGACUCUGUCCUGGGCGCCGAGCUCUGAGACCGGGCCGGGCUGCAGCCGCCUUCCCCGCCGUCGCCUCGGCCGCCGCUGCUGCAGACAGAGGACGCCCAGUGGCGGCUGGAAGCCCGUAGCACAAGUUCCCAAAGUAAAACAACUCCCCACUCUGCCUAUCCCACUCUGCCAAUCCAAGAGACCAGGACAUCUGGCAUCACUCUUGAAAUCUAAAGAACUGACAAGAAGAAGGAAGGAAAGAAAACAAGAUUUCUGAAAUGGAGACGACAGUCUGGGAGAGAAGAAACAAGAUUUUUUUAUUGUGAUAAAAGAUCUUUAGUUAAAGAUUUUGUUUUUAUUGUAUGUGUGUUUGUGGGAGAGAGACCUAAGCUACCUGCUAUGGACUGAAUGUUUGCGUCCCCCCAAAAAUUCAUAUGUGGAAGACUAAUCCCCAAAUUGAUAGUAUUGGUAUUAGGAGAUGGGGCCUUUGGGAGGUAAUUAGGUCAUGAGGAUGGAGCCCUCAUGAAUGGGAUUAGUGCCCUUACAAGAAGAGACAAGAGAACUUGUUCUUUGCCAUGUGAGACUAAGACAAGAAGAUAGCCAUCUGCAAGCCAUGAAGGGAGUCUUCACAAGACCCUGGAUCUACCAACACCUUGAUCGUGGACCUCCCAGCCUUCGUAACUGUGCAAAUAAAUGUUUUUGUUUAAGUCA
rnacentral:lncRNA from 1 species